GAUGAACGCUGGCGGCGUGCUUAACACAUGCAAGUCGAACGGAAAGGCUACUGCUUGCAGGGGUACUCGAGUGGCGAACGGGUGAGUAACACGCGGGUGAACUCCACUGCACUUAGGGAUAAGCCUGGGAAAAUGGGUCUAAUACCGGAUAGGACGUUGGUAUGGAUGCCGUUCUGGAAAGAUUGUUCGGUGUGCGGUGAGCUAGCGGCCUAUCAGCUAGUUAGUGGGGUAAUGGCCUACCAAUGCGUUGACGGGUAGCCGACCUGAGAGGGGGUACGGCCUCAAUGCUACUGCGGUACGGCGCAGACUCGUACGGUAGGCAGCAGUGGGGAGCAUUGCGCAAUAAGCGCGAGCCAGAUGCAGCGACGCUGCGUGGGGAAUGCCGGCCUUCGAGUGAUGAACACCUUUGUCUAGAAACGAGGCGCAAGUGACGGUACCUAGAGAAGAAGCACCGGCUAACUACGUG
rnacentral:rRNA from 1 species